GUGUACAGAAGUAUCGUGAAAAGCUUUGUUUUUACAAGUGGUACAAGCAAAUCAUAGCAAGCAGAGGAUGUCCAGAUGGAAAGGUCUUAGACAGAGGUACAAGUUACAUUGCACAGGCGAGAUCAACAUGAGCAAUAUCAGCAUUAUUUGAUGCUAGAGAGUCCAUCCAUCAGUCUGAUCAUGACAGGUUGAUUUUACUUUCAUGGCACCUGAUGCACAUUAAUUUAUUGAAGAAAAUGUGCAAAUGUACAAUUGACGAAGGAAACUGUCAUCCUACCUGGUCUGGCCAACAUGUGACUCCAUCCCCACAGCAAUGUGGUUGACUCUGAACUGCGGAAUGGGCAAUAAAUGCUGCCUAGCCAGUGACACCCUCAUCCCAUGAAUGAAUAAAGGAGAAAAAUACUCCCAACAAUUAGAAGUGAACAAUUUCAAAAAGCGUUGGAGUGUUACCCCACUGGUGGUGGAAACUAAGAACAAUCAGUCCAGAAGUCCUUGCACCAGGAAUCAGAACUUCAACUAGGCUGGUUCCUGCUGUCCUAUGAAAUACCCAUUGAUACUGAAAUUUUGGCAACCUGUGAGCAAUUUCAUAAUGUUAUGCACCACAAAGUUUUGUUUUCUUCACAACAAGAUUGAGAGUACACAGCCAUUCUUGUGGGAAUUGGUGGAUCUUAAUAAUACAUCUAUUGUAUUGAGUCAUGAUUGUAGUGUUCCUUUUCAGACCAGUGUCAAUUUGGAAGAAUUCAAUUGCCGCAGACAGCACGAUUAUUAAAAGUAUCACAUAACUACCCAAGGCAACUGCCCAGUGCAAUGACUGAAGCUGGAGUUUUGACGUCCGACUCUUUGAUGAUUGUAUGAUGAGGGUUAGAUUAAUUAGAGUUAGAAUUAGGUUAGAGUUCUCUUCUAGGACACAAGGGAGCUCAAACAAUGGGAAGAACUGACCUCAUUGUCACAUAAACAAUGACGAGAUCUGCAGCUGUACGUUUAGUCAGCGAUGUAAGAAACUAAAUGAUCUAAACAAUUUUGGGAAAAUGCAAGUCUAACCUGCUUGUCAAUAUGAAUGGAUAGAUGUGGAAUUUUGUUUUAAUUUGCUUAAAUUAUUUCCAGUUACUUUCUUGUCAACAUACAGGUUUUAAGAGUUCAAAACUUGCUUGUAGCUCACAGUUCUUUUCUUUAAAAAAAAUUGCAGAAUCACCAAAAUGUGUUGGCUGAGAUCAAGGUCAUUUGUCCCAUCUUGUUUGCACUGGCUUAUCAAAUGAGCUCAACAAAACUGUGCCCAUGUAGCAGGCAGUUGACUUUGCCCUUGGCAGCAAUUCCAACUCUUCAUUCAUAAUAAAAGUGAGAAAAAAAUGCAGAUGCUGUAAUUCUGGAACAAAAACAGAAAUUGCUGGAAAUAGGUACAGCAACAUAUGUGAAGAAAGUGCCAUAGUUACUGUUUCAGGUCCGGUCACCCUUCCACAGAGCCCGAAACGUUAACUCUGAUUUUUUUUUCAUCACAGAUGCUGCCAGUUCUGCUGAGCAUUUCCAGCAACUUCAGUCUUCAUUCAUGAUGCCGAGGGCAGUGAUGCUCAUCUUCAAGAGGAAUGACCUUUCACGACAAUUGCAAAAAUGAAUCCCUAAUGCUUGUUCAGGCUUUGACAAUCUAUGCAGGUAUGGCAAUCAUAAAUCUCAUGGUGGAAGAGAUUCAUGAAUUUGCUAGUUACUAGAGCUGCAGAGCACCUCACAUUUGAAAAGCUGGGGUUCUGGCGAAUUGUGUAAGUUUUAAUUGCUGCCAUGUUACCUCAGGUGUGGAGCUGUAUGUGGCGUAUUUGGAAAGAGACAAAAUGUAAUGCAUAAGCACAGUUUCUUCAGGGUGCAGCAUUGACUAAAUGAGGAAUGUUGGAGACAGCUUCAAAGUAAGAGUGCGACAUUGCUCAAUGAAUUUCAUGGUUUGGUGGAGCAAAUGCUGACCAUGAAGAUCGAAUAUUAGUUGAUUUGUGUUUUACAGAUAUUCACCUAAGAAUUAACAUAUUCAACUGUCCACACUCAGAGUCUGGUUUUGUAUUCCAGGGAAAGGCAUACAGGCAAGUUUCAUUCCAUCUGGCCAUCGCACAACGAGAUCAGUCACAUAUGUACACCUGAAUGGGCUGACAUAAUUUAACCACAAUUCUAUUCCUGCGAAAACAUCACAACAUCAUCGCCUUCACUUGUUACAAAUUGUAAGCAAGCGUUGAAAUUAUAGUUUAAAUGUAGCAUUGGUGGAUGUGGAGAAAAAUAUCUGUAGACUGGAACAGAGAAGAGAUUAGAAACAAAGAAACCUACAGCACAGGAACAGGCCCUUUGGCCCUCCAAGCCUGCGCCGAUCAAGAUCCUCUGUCUAACCUGUCAUCUAUUUUCUAACGGUCUGUGUCCUUUUUCUCCCUGCCCAUCCAUUUACCUGUCCAAAUAUAUCUUAAAAGACGCUAACGUGUCUGCGUCUACCACCUCCGCUGGCAACGCAUUCCAGGCACCCACCACCCUCUGUGUAAAGAUCUUUCCACGCAAAUAUCCCUUAAGCUUUCCUCCUCUCACUUUGAACUCAUGACCCCUAGAAAUUGAGUCCCCCACUCUGGGAAAAAGCUUUUUGCUGUCCACCCUGUCGAUACCCCUCAUGAUUUUGUAGACCUCAAUCAGGUGCCCCCUCAAUCUCCAUCUUUCUAAUGAAAAUAAUCCUAAUCUACUCAACCUCUCUUCAUAGCUAGCACCCUCCAUACCAGGCAACAUCCUGGUGAACCUCCUCUGCACCCUCUCCAAAGCAUCCAUAUCCUUUUGGUAAUGUGGCGACCAGAACUGCACACAGUACUCCAAAUGUGGCCGCACCAAAGUCCUAUACAACUGCAACAUGGCCUGCCAACUCUUGUACUCAAUACGUACCCAAUGAAGGAAUGCAUGCUAUAUGCCUUUUUUGACCAUCCUAUUGACCUGUGUUGUCACCUUCAGGGAACAAUGGACCUGAACACCCAGAUCUCUCUGUGCAUCAAAUUUCCCUCGGACUUUUCCAUUUACUGUAUAGUUCACCCUUGAAUUUGAUCUUCCAAAAUGCAUCACCUCGCAUUUGCGCGGAUGGAACUCCAUCUGCCAUUUAUCUGCCCAACUCUCCAGUCUAUCUAUAUUCUGCUAUAAUCUCUGACUGUCCCCUUCACUAUCAGCUACUCCACCAAUCUUAGUGUCAUAGCAAACUUGCUAAUCAGACCAGCUACACCUUCCUCCAGAUCAUUUACAUAUAUCACAAACAACAGUGGUCCCAGCACAGAUCCCUGUGGAACACCACUGGUCACAGGUCUCCAAUUUGAGAAACUCCCUUCUGCUACUACCCUCUGUCUCCUGUUGCCUAGCCAGUUUUUAAUCCAUCUAGCUAGCACACCCUGGACCCCAUGUGACUUCACUUUCUCCAUCAGCCUGCCAUGGGGAACCUAAUCAAAUGCCUUACUGAAGUCCGUGUAUAUGACAUCUCGAGCCUUUCCCUCAUCAAGCAACCUUGUCACGUCCUCAAAGAAUUCUAUUAAGUUGGAAAGACAUGACCUUCCCUGCACAAAACCAUGUUGCCUGUCACUGAUAAGCCCAUUUUCUUCCAAAUGGGAAUAGAUCCUAUCCCUCAGUAUCUUCUCCAGUAGCUUCCCUACCACUGACGUCAGGCUUACCAGUCGAUAAUUACCUGGAUUAUCCUUGCUGCCCUUCUUAAACAAGGGAACAACAUUAGCAAGUCUCCAGUCCUCUGGGACCUCACCGGUGUCCAAGGAUGCUACACAGAUAUCUGUUAAGGCCCCGGCUAUUUCCUCUCUUGCUUCCCUCAGUAACCUGCGAUAGAUCCCAUCCGGACCUGGGGACUUGUCCACCUUAAUGUCUUUUAGGAUACCUAACACUUCCUCCUUCCUUAUGUCAACUAGAGAACAAACUAGAUGAAGUUACACCAGGCUUGGAUUUCACAAACAUAAGGCCAGAUGCCGGCCUGGAGAAACCAGGUCACUGGUACUCUGAGGAAAGCGAGAGGAUGGCUAGCUACUCAGAAUAAGUCUGAUGAUCACAUCCAGCCACAUUGCUAGUGAGCAGUGGGAGGAGUGUGAAAAUAAGGAUGACCAGGAAACUCAUUCUUACAGGUCCUGUGGAGCAGAGCAUUGAGGAAUUGAAUGUCAGGAUCACCUUUCUCUCUCUGGAAAGGAUAUUAUAGUUCUUCAGAAUAAGCGACUCUCAUAUAGUGCUGCCUGUAAUUAAUCAUAGGCUAAUACUGGUACUAUAAUCAAUGGAACAUCUAGUACCUCCUGACUUCUUAGGACAUAAUGUGACGUUCACAUAAUUAGCUCAGGAUUGUCAUCUGUGAGGUUGGUGACCUCUGGCAGAGGCUAACAUGGAUCACUCACUUAACAAUGCUCGCUGAAGAUGGUUGAAGUGGUUUCAAACAUCCCUUUUGUAAUAAAUUAUGUUGGACUGUAAGAUCAUUGAGGAUCGGGAUAUUUGUGGACCCUCCUCCUGCUGGCAGUUGUUAAUUUGUGCACUACUAUUGACGAUUGACUUGGAACGACUUAAAGUCUUUCCACUUGUGAUGCACUUUUUUUUGUUUUGGAAUUGUUUAAUCCUGUCGAUCAUAUGCUGUUUUUGCUAUUUGGCAAUUAAAUUGUUAUAUUUGUAGCUUACCACGUUGACAUCUCAUUUGUGGUCUGCUUGCUGCUCCUUGUGGAAUGCCCUUCCUUACCUGUUUCUCUGGAUUCUAUUCCAGUGAAAACAUCACAAAAUCAUCGCCUUCACUUGUUACAAAUUGUAAACAAGCAUAGAAAUUAUAGCUUAAAUGUAGCAUUGUUGGAUGUGAAGAAAAAUAUCUGUAGACUGGAACAGAGAAGAGAUUAGAGAACAAACUAGAUGAAGUUAAAAAGGAAAGGGAGUGAAGAUAUGCGUAUGUGAAUACAUCAAAAAAAUGUGCAGAAUACCUUAAAAUGUAAUAACAAGCAGCAUCAAAAAGGUAGCUGUUUUGUUUAGGAAUAAAACUCAAAGAAGAAAAAAGACUCAAAUAUUAAAACAAAGGAAGGAAAGAAAAAGAAAUAUUGUGGCGGCGUAUUUAUGAGCUGAAAUUGUUGAACUUUACAGUUAAUCCAGAAAGCUGCAUAUGUCUUUACUGACAGAGGAAGUAUUGUUUAGUCAGCUAAAGUGGGAGUUUCACAAGAACAGUACAGCAGGCCAAGAACAGCGAUAUCAAAGGUGAGCCUUGAACUGAGAGUAGAAGUAACAACUAGGAAGUUCACAGUCACACCUGUGGAUUAAAUUGAGAAGCCCUCCAAUCUGUGUCCAAUGUUCUUAAUGUAUAGGAAACAUCAUCCUACAUAUUGCAACUAAUAUUCUGAAUGGUUUUUUAAAAAGUACAAUUAAACUACUUUCCCACCUGGCAGGGCUGUUUGGCUAUUGGACCUUGGGUCAUGAGAAGUUUGAAGGUAAAAAUGAAGUUGCUGUAACAUUUCUGUCACGUUUAUGGGGAAUUGCUUUGAACUGAACUGACAUUUCCAUCAGUCAGCUUGCUUUAACUGAAUUAGUUGGGCCACUGAAAUAUGAUCUUGUUCACCUGGAUAAUUAUGCAAUGACUUGCAGCUUAUGACUGGGAUCUGUCUCAUUGCAACUAAUGAUGAUGAACUAGGCCCUUCAGUCCUCGUUAGUAACUUCCAAAUCUGCCAUAAAUUUAUCCUCAUUAGAUACAUCAAUGCUAAAUUGACUGCUGUACACUGAUAUUAAGCAUCUUACAACCCUGGUUUGAAUGAGAGUUGAUGGAAUAAAUGCAUAUAUAGUGAAAUUAAUUGCAUAGAUUGGAAAUUGCAAACUGAUGCAAAUUCACAUUUAAAUGUAUCCUGCUGAACAGGACCAGCCACAGUGAAUGUAACAGUGCUGAAAUGGUUAUCUUCAUGGCAAAUGUAAAUCUUAACUGUGCUUCCCCACCAUGAUUUGGGCUGUGCACGUUGAAUGUAUUGGCAUUAAACAAAAGAAGUGUAUUGAGAUAAGUAACAAAGUACUUGAGUGUGCAUACAGAUGGUAACAAUGAUGAAAUGAAACUAUCAACACUGAAAGUAAAACAAAAAAAAGUAGAAAAAAAGUGUCAAAAAUGCAUCAGAAAGGUUUCAUACCCCUCAAUUUAAGAAUAAAUGAGAGAACUGAUGUAAGCCAAUAAUUAUUGGAAAUAAGAAUUUGUCCAUAUUCCCCUUCAGGAGCAGACUAAGGUCUUAUGCCUUCACUGUAGCAAUACUCAUCCAUCUUGAGAGAUAUGCAUCUUACUUGUUCCCCUGUUCAAGUUAAGUUUCAAAAUUCCAACUCCCUGAUGUUUAUUUUUGGGAGAAAAAAUUCUCUGAGAUUAUACUGUGUUCUCCAGAUAUUUGACAUUAGAGACCUGUUAAUUCCUCGGCAAAUCAUUAAAUUACAUUCAAAUCUGAACGAGUGCCAGGUAACGGCUGCAUCAAACAGUGUCCUCUAUUUGGCGUCAUGAACUAAAAAAAAAUCAAACUAAGUAAUACGCUCCCUGGGGCUUUUAACACUAUAAAUUGAACAUGUUUGAGAGUAGAGUAUAAAGUGAUCUGAGAUUCUGAUCAAGAUGCAUGGUUCACCAAAAGGCCUGGUGCUUGCCAUUUACUAUCCUAUUCUUGCAGCAGUAGGUGUUCCAGGUAAAAUAUUGGAGUCAGUUAUUACUUCCAGGAAUCAAUGAUUGACGUACAACAAUCAUUUAGUUUAUCAGUGAUGCUUCUCUCAGUUAUCGUUUCUCUUUAACUGAUAUCGGAAUUUUCUCUGUUAUUGUAACUUCUUGCCGUUUCCAAUCCCAAUUGUUUUCCUUCAUUAUCGACAUUGAUUGCAAAUUUGAAGAUUGCAGUUUCAUAUUUGCACUGAGAUAAUAUCUCCUCACUGAUAGCACAAUUUUUCAUCUUUAACUUUCUCAUGUAUCAUCUUCUAUGUCAUAUUUUCUUCACAUAUUAAUAUAAUUUCCCAACUUCAAUUGGUUACUUUUCUCCUUUGGUCAUAGCUGUUAUCACGUUUUGAUUUAUCUCACAUUUAAAAUACAAAUGUUGCCAUAUUCUAAUAUUAAUUCUGUUCUAGUUAGCGAAAUAUCAUUUCAGUGUUGCAAGCAGCGUUACUGUGUGUAAGUUAUUAAAUGUUAACACAGAAAUAAUAUUGCUCCAAUGUCACUUGAAAGAUAAAUUUGCCCCAGUCCAGCAGACAAUUUUGCAUGACUUAUUUAUUCCUGUACUGUAGGCAUACAUAAUAAAGUUUCAACUUACAAUGUGCUUUGUGUAUCUGGAUGCUAAAUUUCCAAUUUAUUUGCAGUAACAAUGUGUAGGCCUCUCCAAAAAUCAAUAUGUAUACAUUCAAUUCCUCUAAAUAAACCAUCUUUCUUAGAGCCAAAAGUGAAUAAUUGGACACCUACCUCUAUUAUUCUUCAUCUGGAAUCUUACUGUCUCCACUCAUAACCAACCAAAAGAAUUUGUACUGGGGCUCUGGAUCCUGCUGAUAGAUUCCAUUUUGAGCAUUUUAACAAGGUUCCAAUUCCAGUGACUCAACUUUUAUGCUUGAAGAAAAUGGAUAUAUGCUUCAGCUUUUGAAUUGCUGCAUCAACCCAUUUAUAUAUGCAGAUCCUCAGAGAAAGUUUAGAGAAGAAUUAAAGAAUGCGGUGAAAUAUCCAUUUAAUCUGAUUGUUAAAUUAUUUAAAUGAAGAAACCAAUAAAAUUUCUAAGAGAAUUGUACAUUCCAAUUAUCCUGAGUUCUCCAUGCAAGCACAUAUUCACAUGCUUGUGGUCUUUUCUCAAUGAGUGAAUGUGAAGAUGCUGAAAGAAGGUUUUUGUGAUUCAAUGUUGUAACAUGCUAGAAUCUAGGUUGGCAUUUUUCCCCCAAGCCAUGCGAAUCCUGUACAUUUUCUAAGUUCUGAAGGGCUGCAAGAAACUCAGCACUCAUAGAGCAUAACAUCCGCCAGAAUGGAAACAGGCCAUUUGCACCAACAAUUCCACACCAACUCUCUGAAAAACAUUGCAGUCAGUUUCACCCCCUACCCUACAACCCCACAUUUACCAUGGCUAUUCCACAUAACCUUCACAUCCCUGGACAGUACAGACAAAUUAGCAUGGCCAAUCCACCCAACCAUUUUGGACAGUGGAAAGAAACUGGAACACCUAGGGGAUACCCACAUAGACAUGGGGAGAACAUGCAAACUCCACACAAACAGUUUGAACCCACAUCCCUCGUGCUCUGAGGCAGCAGUGCUAGCCACCGAGACACCAGCUGCCACUUGUAGAAGACAACGUGUUUAGCUCCAGAUCUGUUAAUGGAUAAUAAACAUAAUUGUUCAAAAACUGAUCUUAUUGUGUUAGUUUUAAAUGGCUCAUUUUUUUAAAGUGGAACGCAUUCUCAAAUUUGAAUGCAUUGCAUAUUUGGACAUAUAUUCCCUUUUAUUCUGAAGCAUACUCUCUAGCAUAUCGAUGUGUCUUAAACCAUUGAAACACAUACAGUACUAUUGAAAUUUUAAUUUAGAAUACAGCUCCAUUUUCGAGCAAGUCCUGCCUCACCUGCAAGAUCUGACUGAUGUAAUUACUUCACAUUUUCACCUGAUUACCAUACAUAUCUUUCUCAUGAUUAAUCUGCCUAUGUAUUUCUUAAAGAGAAUUAAAGACUUUGAUUCCACAUUUAUUAAGGAAUGGUCAAUACAGAAAUGACAAUUAUAUUUUCAUAUGUUGCCACAAAGCAUGCUAUCUUACUGACUUUCAGGCUUCUCAGUUUUGAAUAUAGUUGAGGUGAUAAACUUAGUAGUUUUAUCACUAGAAUGUUAACAGAACAACCCUGGAAAAUGUUUUGAAGGUUCUGUCUUUAAAUCUUGUGAUGAUAGAAGGUGAAAGUUGAAAGCAAGAAUAAAGUUGGGGAUAAUAAUUUAUUCAUAAUGAGUAACUGUUUUUGGGAAUUGCCAUCUGUUUUAUUUAUGUCCUUCAAGGAAUGGCAUCUGUGCUACACGUGACUCCGCUCCUGCAAUGUGUUUGAUUCCUCAUUAUCGUAUGAACAGUGAGGGUGGCAAUAAAUGUUUGUCAAAUCUAUGAUGCCUCCAUUCUGUGAAAGAUGAAACAAAAUCUUUAUCACUUUGUAUCCACCUUAUGCACUUUCCACAACAUUCUUUCCUACUAUUUCUGUGACAUCAGCAAAUUUAGCAACAAUUGUCAUCAAUGUCACUUAGACGUCUUUAAUAAAGUGUUGAAUUUCCAGUCCUAACUCCUGUGGCAUGUUACUCUCUGAAAUUGAAUGUGAAUUUCAAUGAUAUUUUGGUUAAAGCUUUAUUGAUGCACCCUCACCAUGAGGUCAUCAAUUCAUUCUAUUUUGCUACACCAUAUCAGAUCAAGUGUGGCCUGCUUUCUGGAUCAUUCCGAAAUACUUGUCGCUAAGAAGCGAUCUCAAAAACAUUCUAUGAAUUCACCGUCUUGUUUAACUUCGUUCAUCUGCUAUUUUCAGUCUAUGUGCAGAUGUGUUCCCAGUGUGAUUACCUGAAUAAUGUUCUGCCAAGUUCCCACUAUUUUUACUGCACUUUUCUGCUCAUGCAUUGUUAAGCACCAGACCAGACCUCCUCAAAAUAUUUUAAGAAUGUGGCCCAGAUCCUAACUCUUUCUUAUUUUAAAGGUAGAUGUGAAUUGCAUGUUCGACAAGUGUUGCAACUGGUCAAACAACUCAAUGUUAAGCAAAGCACAGUUUGUUAAAACAUUGUGCUUAAAAUAUAAAUGACAGAAAGAGGAAUUUAGAAGAAAUGAACAAUUGAAAAUCUCAACUGAAUAAUAGAUGAGGUAGCUAUUAUUAAUUAUCUGUUCAAUUAUAGUAACAGCCCAGAAACACAACCCCUGACAACAAGGCAGGUUUGGGCACAUAUUCUUAUAUGCAGUUCUCCUAACCAGGAGAAAACAAACCUUAAGAGAAAAUUCAGGGAAAGUAGCAGCUAAGAAUAAUUCACUGAAGUUCCAACUCAUCUGCGACCAUAAACAGCUGCUGCUGCUAAAGCUAAAAAAACAGAAAGCCUGGUCUGCAAGAGCUGGCCAUACCCAUCAGGCUGUUAAAAAAAACCUAAAAGCCUCACAAGUUGUUCACUCCAAUGGUCCUGGUAGACUACCCAAGAUUCUGUAUUAUAGGCUCUGUUUAAAAAAAAUGAAAAAAAUAACCUUUUAAAGUGAUAACAUCAUCACACCAUCAUAUGCAGUUCUGGAAUGCACAUUAUAGGAUGAAUGUGAUAGCUUUGGACUUGGUAAAGAGAAGAUUUAACAUGUUGUUGCCUGGGUUAAUCACUUUCACUUCUGAAGAGAGAUUGGACAGAUUGUUUCAUUUAUUUCUGUGCCUUCAGAGGAUAUGGUUGAAAUUAUGAAGGUCAUAUAGAGUGUAGACAGAAGCAAAUAGUUCCCCGCUAUCGAGGGAACAAUGACUGGGUGCAUAAAUUAAAGAAUGGGACAGAGGAUUUUAAGGAAACGCAAGGAAAGCCCUUUUAUCUAGAGCAUUGGGAAUCUGAAAUUCACUGCCUGUAAAGGUGGUCGAGUUACAGAUGCUGACAACAUUCAAGAAGUAUUUAAAUUUAUUCUUGCGGUGUGAAGGCACACAAGGGUAUGGGUCAGUUGCUAGAAAUUGGAAUGAGAACAAGUAGAUUUUUUUGACCAUCAGAGACACAAUGAAUUUGUGAAAAUGUUGUGCAUUUCACAGAGAUGUGUUCUGUCCUUUCCUCUUGCAGAGAAUUGUUGGAAAAUGGUGACAUAACGUUUGGUUCAGAGAGGAGUUGGUAAACAUACUGGCUUUCGCCCUCUAUGAUAUUUAUAUAAAAAUAGACAAAGUAAGCAUGAGAACCUGAGGACUGCGUUUUCUGCUUUCAUUUGGAGUUGUACUUAGCUGGCUGCCGCAGCUAACAGCUAAAGCACUUUCUCUUUGGGGUGGCAUGGAGGCUCAGUGGUUAGCACUGCUGCCUCAUCGCACCAGAGGCCUGGGUUCAAUUCCACCCUAGGGUGACUGUGCGGAGUUUGCACAUUCUCACUGUAUCAGCAUGGGUUUCUUGUGGCUGUCUGGUUUCCUCCCACAUUUCAAAGGUAUGCAGCACAGGUGGAUUGGACAUGCUAAGUUGCUCAUAGUGUCCAGGGGUAUGAGAUUAGGUGAGUUAUAAGCAGAUAGGUCUGGUAGGGAUGCUGUGAGGGUCAGUGUGGACUUGUUGGGCCAAAGGUCCUGUUUCCACACUGUAGGGAUUCUAUGACUAUCUCUUUGCUGCUGGGGUUAAGACUUAGAUAGAAAGUUUCUUCGAGAAAUAAAAAGGGACAGAGUCUUACUUUUUUGCUGUUUCUUUCUGAUGGACUGGAGAAAAAUAGCAUGUGAGAAUAAUACCUGCUUUUCUGAAUAGAUUGUUUUUCUUACAAAAGAAGAUGUUUAUGGAAUGCUACCUAUAUUGCAACAGUUGAUGAUUAAUGUAAAUAAUAAUGUAUCUUUUGAAGUA